rnacentral:snRNA from 1 species
GUGUUGGUUUCGGCAGCACAGGUACUAAAAUUGGACUGAAUCAGAAAAGAUUAGCACGGCCCCUGCACUAGGGUGCACGCACAGAAGUGAAGCGUCCCGUAUUUUU